CAGAUAUUAGUUUAUUAAAAUAUUAAUUUUGGAGAUUAAAGUUAAAUGUUUAUUUAUAUCUGA
rnacentral:tRNA from 1 species